UACGUAGGGUGCGAGCGUUAAUCGGAAUUACUGGGCGUAAAGCGUGCGCAGGCGGUUUUGUAAGCCAGGUGUGAAAUCCCCGGGCUCAACCUGGGAAUGGCAUUUGGGACUGCAAGGCUGGAGUGCGGCAGAGGAGACUGGAAUUCCUGGUGUAGCAGUGAAAUGCGUAGAUAUCAGGAGGAACACCGAUGGCGAAGGCAGGUCUCUGGGCUGACACCGACGCUCAUGCACGAAAGCGUGGGGAGCAAACAGG
rnacentral:rRNA from 1 species